CACAAAGGGCAAGUCAAAAUGACCUGGACUUUUUUCAGGUUUAACCGGGGACAGGCCACCAAAACCUCGGACUGCCUCGGGAAAACUGGAGCCAACAGCGCCAACGUGUGGAAGGAAUGGGAACAGGGACUCCUCCCCUUCUGCAGAGUUCGGAGAUCUCUCUUCCUGCGGUCAGCUUGCUUUGACAGCCACCAACAUUGGCGCAUUGUCUAAAACAUUUAUUUAAUUUUCUCCUGUAUACUGACAAUUCAGAGUCAAACGAUUUUACACAUUAUUUUCCGGAACAAGCGUUGGAAAGGCCUCGUCUAGAAUGGGGAACAGAGACGAUGAAUACGAUUUCUUGUUCAAAGUCGUGUUAAUCGGAGACUCGGGCGUCGGAAAGAGUAACUUGCUCUCUCGGUUCACACGAAAUGAAUUCAACCUUGAGAGUAAGAGUACCAUCGGGGUGGAGUUUGCCACCCGCAGCAUCCAGGUAGAUGGGAAGACCAUAAAGGCUCAGAUAUGGGACACGGCUGGACAAGAACGUUACAGAGCCAUCACCUCUGCCUACUACAGAGGGGCUGUGGGGGCUCUCCUAGUGUACGACAUCGCCAAGCAUCUGACCUAUGAGAACGUGGAGCGUUGGCUGAAGGAGCUGCGGGACCACGCCGAUAACAACAUCGUCAUCAUGCUGGUGGGCAACAAGAGCGACCUGCGCCACCUCAGGGCGGUACCCACGGACGAGGCCAGGGCUUUUGCAGAUGUGUGUGUGCAGCCUUGCCAACUUAUAUGGAGAUUGUCAUUGCAACACAUGGGAGCUGAAAUAAGGUUGAAAUGGGCACAUCGGGACCAUGUCGUGAAACAAUCACUAUUCAACUUAUAGCAUCAAAUGACCACUCAUUUCAAAGAGAUUGACAGGGGGAAAGUAUAUGGAAGUGGCCUGUUUACCUUCCUAACUUUUAUAUGUCCUUGGUUGUCACAAGGAAAACAUGUUAUUGUGACCUAGCAGACUGCGUAAUACACAUGGCAUUGAGACACUGUGUAGUAGUAACAAUUUAAUUUGUGUACAGUUUAAUGAGGGCCUAAAUCACUUUCUCCCUACAGAGAAGAACAACCUAUCGUUUAUUGAAACCUCUGCCUUGGAUUCGACUAAUGUAGAGGAAGCUUUCAAGAAUAUUCUUACAGAAAUCUAUCGCAUUGUAUCGCAGAAGCAGAUCGCCGAACGAUC